UAGGGAAUCUUCCGCAAUGGGGCGAAAGCCUGACGGAGCAACGCCGCGUGAGUGAAGAAGGUCUUCGGAUCGUAAAACUCUGUUAUUAGGGAAGAACAAAUGUGUAAGUAACUAUGCACGUCUUGACGGUACCUAAUCAGAAAGCCACGGCUAACUACGUGCCAGCAGCCGCGGUAAUACGUAGGUGGCAAGCGUUAUCCGGAAUUAUUGGGCGUAAAGCGCGCGUAGGCGGUUUUUUAAGUCUGAUGUGAAAGCCCACGGCUCAACCGUGGAGGGUCAUUGGAAACUGGAAAACUUGAGUGCAGAAGAGGAAAGUGGAAUUCCAUGUGUAGCGGUGAAAUGCGCAGAGAUAUGGAGGAACACCAGUGGCGAAGGCGACUUUCUGGUCUGUAACUGACGCUGAUGUGCGAAAGCGUGGGGAUCAAACAGGAUUAGAUACCCUGGUAGCCCACGCCGUAAACGAUGAGUGCUAAGUGUUAGGGGGUUUCCGCCCCUUAGUGCUGCAGCUAACGCAUUAAGCACUCCGCCUGGGGAGUACGACCGCAAGGUUG
rnacentral:rRNA from 1 species